GAAGCAUUCGUCAUUGUUUACCAGCUAACCAUAUGACAGAGAAGAUGAUUUCCCAUAAUGACAGCAAGGAUCAAACAUACAGACUAAGAUUAAUAAAAC